GUAGGAAUCUACCUAGUAGUUGGGGACAACCUGGUGAAAACCAGGCUAAUACCGAAUAAGCCCUACGGGGGAAAGUGGAGGAUCUUCGGACUUCACGCUAUUAGAUGAGCCUGCGUCGGAUUAGCUAGAUGGUGGGGUAAAGGCUUACCAUGGCAACGAUCCGUAGCUGGUCUGAGAGGACGAUCAGCCACACUGGGACUGAGACACGGCCCAGACUCCUACGGGAGGCAGCAGUGGGGAAUAUUGGACAAUGGGGGCAACCCUGAUCCAGCAAUGCCGCGUGUGUGAAGAAGGCCUGCGGGUUGUAAAGCACUUUCAGUAGGGAGGAAAAGUUCAAGGUUAAUACCCUU
rnacentral:rRNA from 1 species